UACGGAGGGUGCAAGCGUUAUCCGGAUUUACUGGGUUUAAAGGGUGUGUAGGCGGACUUUUAAGUCAGCGGUGAAAUCUCCGGGCUCAACCCGGAAACUGCCAUUGAUACUAUUGGUCUUGAAUAUUGUGGAGGUGGGCGGAACGGGUCAUGUAGCGGUGAAAUGCUUAGAGAUGACCCGGAACACCGAUUGCGAAGGCAGCCCACUACGCAAUG
rnacentral:rRNA from 1 species